GGCAGGUGCAACAAUAAAUCCUCUUUUGCAACCCAGAACUCAUUGUUCAGUAUGAGUUUGAUAUAUACAAGAAGGAAUACA
rnacentral:snoRNA from 1 species